GUUGUAUAGUUAAGUGACUAAGCGCACAAGGUGGAUGCCUUGGCAAUCAGAGGCGAAG
rnacentral:rRNA from 1 species